rnacentral:lncRNA from 1 species
UCAUUUGUUAUAUGAAUAUUCAUGUUCAAUAAUUAUUAUGGUUAUAUGAAUAUUUAUGUUCAGUCUCAUCAUUUAGUUUUAUGUAAAGAUUUUUAAGACGAGAAUUUGUUCUGUGUCAUUGCUUUAUUCAUAUUGUAUGUUCUCUAGAUAUGUGUUUAUAUAUACUAUUUAAGGGGAUACCCCAGAUCUGCUUUUGUGCUAUUUUUAAUUAAACGGGUAAAUGUAAAUUUUUUAAUUUAAUUUUCAUCAGAUCUGAUGCAGUAGAAGGGUGGUUGUCAUGUUGUGAAUUGCAGACUCUGAUUAGGGUUAAUAUCAAGAUGAUAUGAAUGAAACUGGAGAUUUCGGUGAAAUUGUAAGAAUUUAAUCAUUAAAAUUUAGUUGAAAUUAAAUUUAAGUCAAAAUUUUAAAUUUAACAAAGCUCUAGGUCAAAUCAAAUUCAAGCUAAGAUUUAAUUCAAUAUUUUGAAUUUUAACAAAAAUUUAGGUAAAAGUGUGAUUUUAAGUAUGCUUUAGUUUCUGCUUAGAUCCAAUUCAAGCCAAGAUGUGGAUAUAACAGUAUAUUUUGGUAAAAAAUGAACUUUCUAAAGUAGAAUUUUGUUAAUGUGUAACAAUAGACAAACCAGCCUCCUACUGUAUAUAUCCCUACACUGGCCAGCAGAACUUCUACACACAUGGUAGUCAUUUAAAAGUUAUUUUGAUUAUAUUUGAAAUAAAAUUAUGAAAAAAAGUUUUUAAAAAAUUGUUAGAUAUAUAUGUGAAUGACUAGAUACAAAAUAUCCAGUGUGGAUUUUCCAAAAACAAAAUUUUUUGUUAGAAAGGAUAAACUUAACAAAUGGAUUUUUUUCAAUUCCAACUAACCAACUCUAUAUUAUAGAUGAUAGAGGAAGGAAACAUGUAUAUUUUUUUUUUUUUUUUUUUUUGGAAUGCAAGUUUAAAAUGUAUUUUCAAAAUUGACAUUUUGAUAUUUUUAAACAUUUAAUUGUAAUCAUUAACAUUUUAAUGGAAGAUUUGUGUAAAACAUUAUGAAUACCACAUUGCAGUCCAUCGUGGACAUUUAAAAAAAAUUAAUUGAUACUAAUUUUCCAAUUUUGCGGUAUUAUGUAAGUCCUGUCUAUUUGAGACCUUUUUCUAUGGUUUACCAUGUGUGUUGGGGCGCCCAGUGUUUGUUAGCAUGUAAUGCUUGUUAAUGUGCCUUAUAAACUAUGUGCUGUACUAUACUGCUUAUCAUAUGGGCUAUAUAGAGCCAAAACAACAAAUAAAUAGAACAAUAUUAUAUCUACGUUUUAUUUUAUCUUAGCACACGACGAAUC